ACUUAAACAAUCCGCCUGCCUUGGCCUCGGAAAGCGCUGGGAUUACAGCAGGAGCUACUGCGCCCACCAGACAAAAGCCAUCUCAGAGUCUUGCCUGGGCAGCCACUCCCACCUCGGAAGCUUCUAGGGGAAGUGCCCCCUGACUGUCCCAGGGCCCCUGUGCCACCGCAGAGGAUAAGCGACCACCCGGCCAACAUUCACCCCAAAUUCCUCAGGGUCCUAAAGAUCUCCGGAGCGAGCCGGAAGAGCCCACACCUGACUGCCAACAGACAAUAGAUGUCCUCCACGCUGCGCGACCGGAUAUCACUGACAUCCCCCUGCGGAACCCAGAGGAGGUACUGUAUACAGAUGGCAACAGUUUCAUGGUCAACGGAGUCAGGUAUGCCAGGGCAGCUGUGGUCACCCUAGAGCAGUUAUCUGGGCCCAGGCUCUUCCACACAGAACCUCAGCCCAAAAAGCAAAACUCAUAGCUCUGAUAAAGGCCUUGGACUGGGCGGAGGGAAAGACUGUCAACAUCUACACUGAUAGCCAAUAUGCCUCUGCCACGGCCCAUGUACAUGGAGCCAUAUAUAAAAAAAGAGGGCUGCUUACCUCAGAGAAAAAAGUCAUCAAAAACAAAGAGAAAAUCCUAGCCCCACUAGAGACUGUAUGGAAGCCCAAGGCCAUGACAUUAAUACACUGCAAAGAACACCAGAAGAGAAAUUCACCAGAGGCAAGGGGAAAUAGGACAGCUGACCUGCAAGCCAGACAGGUGGCCUUGGGGCUAGUAAAACCUCUGACUCUUCUUGUAACUCUGCUGGCCCCAACUCUCUAAAAAACAAGGGAGAUGGCAAGAUUCCACAGGAUGAUGGACUCUACCGGACACAAAAAUUGUGCUCCCUGAGGCUCUAGAAUGAACUCUAGUUAAGGACACACACACCAGGCCACUCACUUAAGACAAUCAAAACUAAGCUGCUGAGGGCCAGAUACUACAUCCCACACUUACAUGAGAUUGUUAGAAAAACUACGACUCAAUGUAAUGUACGUGCCAGGGUAAAUCC